UGCCCUGAGAGACCCGGUGAGUCGUUGCCCCCCGUGGGUUCGGGGUAGUGUGACGGAGGCGAGCUCCGCUGGGGCCUUGGGGAAGGGCGCCAGCGUCCUCAACGUUUUCCGGGGCCGGAGUGGUGCACCGCCCUCGGGGAAAGGGUCUCCCUGGGGCCGAGGCCGUGGGGCUGAGCCCGGUGGGGUGAACCCUCUCCCCGGCUCGCCCAUAGGUAGCUGCGGGAGUUUGGCUGGCCGGCCCGUGAGGCUGGGUGUGUGCAGACCAUUCCUCUGCCCCGGGCCGCGGGAGCUGAUCGUGAGGUGCAUGGUCAGAGAAAGAGGAAACCAAACUGCCUUGCGUUCUCCUACCUGUUGCUGGCGAGAGAACGUCUUUCCCAUACUGGUUCUGACUUUUUGGAGG
rnacentral:lncRNA from 1 species